rnacentral:piRNA from 1 species
UGCUACGUUGUUACUGUGUGGAGCAC